ACGGGAUCCCAAAGCGAAGCUCCAUCUCAGGACCCCGGGAUCAUGACCUGAGCUGAAGGCAGACACUUAACUGACUGAGCCACCCAGGCGGUCACUCAGAUUUAAAUUUUAAGUAAUCUCUACACUUCAUGUGGGGCCUACACUUCAUGUCCAGCCCGGAGCUGAUGAGGCAGGGAGUCCCUUAAUGAUGUGAAGAACAAAGGCAAAAGAAAUGUGGAAAAAUGAAAUUUCCCUACAACUGCGAGCUCCUUCGCAAGUACUUAAGACAGGCAGGGUGACCUUCCUCCAGGAACUCAACUGCCUCAUGUGAAUGAUGAGGGAACAGAGGACUAGCUGAGGACAAAGCACGUUGACAAGUCCUUGAAAUAGGCAGAGUGACAUUCCUCUACAGACUCAACUGCCUCGAUGUUCAUACUUUGCUAAGGGCAGAAGGCAAUCUUAGCCCGACCCCCGGGAGCCUGUGAGUCUACUUUAACAUAUAAAAAUUCCUUUAGAAAGUUCCUUUAUCUCUACCCCACAACAUACAUGUUGGCAACCAUCCCCCAAGCACAUGGCCCACGGAUACACAGCUGAAGGGUCUCAUGAUUCAGGUUUUAUUAGACAGUAAUAAGUGACCUUUCCCCAACAAGAGCUAGCCCCCCCAAGGUCCUGGAAACCUUAUUUCCAAAAUUCAUUAGAGAGUAUGCUCUCCCCAAACCCUUCUCCACUGCCAGGUAUAUAAUUAGCCACCCCCACAGGCCCGGGGCAGCCACUCUUCCUGCGCACGGGUCCUGUCCCUGGGCUUUAAUAAAACUACCAUUUUGCACCAAA